UUAAAAAGGUUGCAGUGCUGCAAAAAGGUAGUCAGAGGCAGCAUGUAGUUAAAUGCAGAGAUGCUUCACCUCCAAGUGAUUCAUCUGCAUCUUUUAUGCCAGGUAGGAGGAUGAGAGUCGUGCAAAAGUCCCACUUCUUCCCUCUAAAGAGCCCUGCCCACUGCUGAAACAGAAGCUGGACUCCAGCAAGUGCUUUUUGAGCUUCUCAGGGUUAAAGUAGCCCACAAUCUGGGGAUCACAAGGUUACUGUUAAGCUUAAGAGACACGGGACUAAAGACACAUGGAGAAACUACUGAUUUUACAGCCGCAUAAUUGCUACUAGAGGCUUAUAUGGAGGAGGGCAAAAAAAUGAUAUAAUAAACAAAGGAUUACCUGCAUCAUCUGGUGUCCAUGGAUUCCGUGCUGGCUUUUCAGAGGUUGGUCCCGAGGUAGUGAUCAUUCUCACACUAGGACUAGAUGAUCUACUGCUGUUUCUACUCUCC